ensembl:lncRNA
GAAGGGACUGUAGGCAGGCAGACCAGCAGAGAGUCUCCGACCGCUCUGGAGCAGAAGUCCGUGAGACACAAACUCUGGAUUCACAACAAGAGAAGCUUUUCCAAUCUACCGUAGUUAUAGCAACCAGUCUCAAUAACGGGAUUAUAACGGCCGCGUGGCACAUUAGUAGAGGAAGAGUCGUUACUCUGUGGAAUCAAAGAAUUUUCCAGUUGAUUUUAAAAGUGGAUUUGUACGUGGCCAACUGAACCGGGUGAAACGAGCGGUUGCCUUGCACGGAAAGAAAUGCAAACCGCGGCGGAACGGAGAGACGGUCCUUCCACACAGCAAUUCUUUCCGCCAGGAGUUAUUUUAAGAAGGGAGCCUAUAAUAUACAUGACCAUACGUGAACACUGCGGGCAAGGGUUUCAACCGUCCAGAGUUUUUAUUGAUUAAAAACAAACAAACAAGCAUAUGUGAGGAACUUCAGAGUGCUCAUGAGGCAUGUCAGCAAUAUCAAAUGAUCUGGAAAAGCUCAAGAGCAACUUUCGUGCAAUUGCAUCAUAAUUCUGGAAUAAUUUGGCCAAAGACAACAUUGUUUUCUUGAUCCUGUGCAGUCUUCUGGUACUAAUGUUCAUUUGGUCUGUGUAAUUAGUUUAAUAUCCUGUCAGUUCUGGAUUUGAUCAUAAAGACAGGACGGCUCCUGAGGCUAAAAGAUGGCUGGAGAAAAUUUAUGGUCUAUAUUUUGACUGGCGUUAAGAUGAACUGACCAUAUCGCCCCCAGUAGCACACGUGUGAUUGGAUCACUGUCACAUUUAUGUCAUUGUAUUUGUUGCUUUGGUAAAUGACUUAACAAAACAGUCAAUCAUUGUGACCUGCUGAAAUAAAAUGUAAUAAUAAUAAUAAAAUAAAAAAAAAUAAAAAAAAAAGAUGUGCAUGAAAAUAAUUUUGUGUAUACAUUAACUGUAGGUCAGCAUUUUUUACAUUAAUAACAUAAGUGUCAUAGCAGCUGUCAGUAAAGAGCUUGAAACCAUAGCAAAUGCCCUUUAAGUAAGAUAUACAGUUGUUGUAAUGGAUCUUUGAGUAUUUUUAGCAGAUUUGUUUGUGUCAAUAUACUUUAGUAUCUUCCACCCUCUUACCUAUUUUAUUCAGGCAGAGGGAACUAAUUGGCACAUUCAGAAUGCUCGGCCCUCUGUUGCCACAUGCUAAAAAGCCACUUGGUGCAAACAUCCCCCUUGCUGACGCUGUCUUAUGGUUUCCAUAUGCUCUGAUUUUGGGUAAUUUCAGGGCCUGGGCUCUAAUGAGAGAUUUUAUUUCUGUAAUGCAUCGGUUGUGGUGUCGGGGAUCAACAUUUAUAGGACUCAUAUCUGGGAACUCCGAGACUUCUCAGUGGCACAUUGGGCUCUGGCAUGGGAAUACACAGUUUUUAUUUUAACAAUUCAGCCUAGUCGACACUUUUUUAGGAGUCAUGUGGCACAGUCAGUGUGGUCGAAAUAGCUUCAGUGUGGUAAAAGUUUACGUUUUUUAAGUUUCAGAUCUGUUGAUUGCUAUAGUUCUGUUCACUCCAAGAAGGUCUUGAGCACCUGAAUAAAAGACAACGCUUUGUAAGAGAACAUUUAAUUGCUUUGCACUUGAACACAGGGGUUUCUUUCUUGUUUUACUUGCAAGACCACCUAGUAUAUAAAAACUGCUUAUUUAGAAAUCUUUUUAUACCGUCCAAAAUAGAAAUGUUUAAAAUGUAUUUAAUACAGGGCCUGAAUUUGUUUUGUUUUUUUAAACUGGGGUGGGGUAGGGGGGAUUCCCCCUUACAUGGGUCACAUGGGGG